AGCUCUGAUUUUAUGGUAUUUUUAAUUGAUUUCUUGAGUUAUUUUCCUUUAGAUCUCAAAUUUAAAUUAAAACCUACAGUCUAUUACUCAAUUUGUAGUUGAUUCAAACAUUUUUAUCAUUUGAAUAUUCAAAGAUAAACUGACACUGCAUUUUUCCCCAUUGAAAGAAUUAAGUUUUAAUUCUAAUGUUCAAUACUUUUUUUUCCUACUAGGAAGUAAAUAUAAGUUCUUUAUUUAGCCCUUAAUUUUUUCAGUGUCCAAAAAUGCAUUUGGAUUUAGUGUGUAGAGAGUCUUUUAAAGAUGUAAACUAUCACAAUGGUUGUUUAGUGUCUUUCAAUCUCCAAGUAUUUUUUUUCUGUACAUGUAUUAUUUAAUUGAGUCGAAAGAUGAAUGUUUGAAAAUCUAGAUAAAAUUUGAUUGGUUAUGGUAUGCCCGUUAUGUUAAAUAAAUAUUAUUUUGAUUAAUAUCUUUAUUCAUUUUGAAGUGUGAUUUUCAUGUUUUUACCUUAUUAAGGCUUAUAAUAGUGUCAGUAUGUGUAAGUUCUGAAAAGCUUUAUUGUACAUCUUUCUCUUUCUUCACAUUGUUUUUGUUUAAUUUUAUAGUCAUUACCUUUGCAGAAAACAAAAUUUAGACAGCCAAAUUUUAACAUUAAUGAUUAUGUUGCGAAGUUAUAAAGAAACAUUUUAUAUUUCUCUUUAGCACCCAUUAUGUUUUUACAUCAUGGUGAUAUAGCAGUGAGCUUUAGUUUUACUUUAUGCAGUAUGCCCACAAAAGAUAUGAUUAAAUAGGAAUGUAAGCACAUACAAAGUAUGCAGUACCAUGUUCAAUGUCAUCCAAUUUUUAUAUUGAUUUAAAGAAUACUAGUAUGGAUUAUAUCCCUUGAAAGUGAAUCCUACAGAGCUUGUAUUAUUUAUUAAAAUUUUGAAAGAUA